rnacentral:rRNA from 1 species
UACGAAGGGGGCUAGCGUUGCUCGGAAUCACUGGGCGUAAAGGGUGCGUAGGCGGGUCUUUAAGUCAGAGGUGAAAUCCUGGAGCUCAACUCCAGAACUGCCUUUGAUACUGAGGAUCUUGAGUACGGGAGAGGUGAGUGGAACUGCGAGUGUAGAGGUGAAAUUCGUAGAUAUUCGGAAGAACACCAGUGGCGAAGGCGACUUACUGGACACAUAUUGACGCUGAGGUGCGAAAGCGUGGGGAGCAAACAGG